rnacentral:rRNA from 1 species
UAGGGAAUCUUCCACAAUGGGCGAAGGCCUGAUGGAGCAACGCCGCGUGUGUGAUGAAGGGUUUCGGCUCGUAAAACACUGUUGUAAGAGAAGAAUGACAUUGAGAGUAACUGUUCAAUGUGUGACGGUAUCUUACCAGAAAGGAACGGCUAAAUACGUGUCAG